GGAAUUUUGGACAAUGGGCGCAAGCCUGAUCCAGCAAUGCCGCGUGAGUGAAGAAGGCCUUCGGGUUGUAAAGCUCUUUUGUCAGGGAAGAAACGGUGGACUCUAAUACAGAUCACUAAUGACGGUACCUGAAGAAUAAGCACCGGCUAACUACGUGCCAGCAGCCGCGGUAAUACGUAGGGUGCAAGCGUUAAUCGGAAUUACUGGGCGUAAAGCGUGCGCAGGCGGUUGUGCAAGACAGAUGUGAAAUCCCCGGGCUCAACCUGGGAAUUGCAUUUGUGACUGCACGGCUAGAGUGUGUCAGAGGGGGGUAGAAUUCCACGUGUAGCAGUGAAAUGCGUAGAGAUGUGGAGGAAUACCGAUGGCGAAGGCAGCCCCCUGGGAUAACACUGACGCUCAUGCACGAAAGCGUGGGGAGCAAACAGGAUUAGAUACCCCAG
rnacentral:rRNA from 1 species